UCUCUCUUCACUCUUUUUUAAACCCUAGAUAUUUUCUUAUUCACUCUCUAUAUCACUCCACAUAAGCAUUGUAAUGGAUCUUCAUAUUCAUUGCCAAGGUAAACCAUGGCACUCUAUUUGGCAAGGACUACAUUGAAAUGAUUCAACAAAGAGAUGUCACACUGUCAACAAUGAUUCCUAGUGAAAGGGAGAAAUUAUGAAUUCUAUGUUCUAGGGCCCCAGUUUUCCAUAAUUAUGCUAGAGAGUCCAGUUGUUAGUUCAGUGACAAUCCCUACUUUGGGAAUUGGGAUCCUAGCCAGAGGAGGUAAGCAACAUCAGAGAAAUGGAUGCACAACAACGGAUGUGUAGCUGUGGAGAGGUGAUGGUCAUCCGAACUUCUCAAACGGCGCGGAAUCCUGGACGAAGAUUUUACAGAUGUCCGGUAGGCGGAAAACAUCCGGGAUGUUUUAUAUGGUUGGACCCAGUAUCGAGGAAUUAUACUGAGACUGGAGACACAGGAACAUGUUAUUCAACAGAAAGUGUUAAUAGGAACACACAGGCCAUCUCAGCUAUUCGUCAACCCUCCUAUAGUCCACAAGUGCGGAAACAAGUACUAGUGGACCAGUCGUUGCUCAACCAUUAUUAUGGUUUAACCAUCUUCCUAUGUAUUUGGGUGUUAAUUCUCUCGUGCUAUGUCUUUUAUGUAACGGCUUUGUAAAUAGUACUAAAGUGGUGUUUCCUAUUAUGUAUGGAGUAAAUACAAGAUCAAGACUUUAUGUAAGAUUUCAUAAUUUUUUUUUCCUUUUCGGAUGAUUAUUAACUUUUGUUUGUUAAUGAAAAGCCUUCCCAUAAGCACCUUGAA